CUUCGGCAAUUUGAUUAUUUAAAUUUGUUGUGGAUUUUUUAUACAUUCUUUUUUUUUUUGUUUUGUUGUCAACUGUUUUUACAUUAUUUUAUCAUUGUUUGUUUACAAAAAUCGUUUCCUCAAACCAAAUGUCAAUACCAAAUACAAAUCAACCAGAAAUAAAUCGCAAUGAUUCCAACAGAAAAGUUAAUUGUGAAAAUAAUGCAUGUUAAUUAAAAAAAAUAAAGUACAAAAAACGCAAAAUGCAAAACUGUCAAAAACUGUUAACGGUUGUUGUUACCUGCUUGUGCUGAUACCACAAUUUUGGCACAAAUAUCAAACCCAACGCAAAGCUAUUCGUUAGCUGCGAGCGUAUAAAGAGCGCCAGCAAAAUGGCACCCGGACUCAUUUCCGGCAGAUAAACGAAUCGCAGAAAAUAGAAACUGGACGACACCAGAAACUCCAACGUCAGCGUGGUGACCAGAAAUUGUCGCUCCUAAAAGGUGAGGUGAAUGAGAAAGUAGACAAUAAUACUGAAAAGCAAACUGCAUUACCCGAAACUGAGUGUUGGCAUUACGACUGGCGAUGGCCAAGUGGAGACCAAAGCACAGUAUGAGCAUCUCGCUUGUCUGCGUCACCAGCUCCCAUUUGAGUGGAUGGCAAGUGUUGGUGCUCGCCUCUCGUAGACUCUUCAGCUGCGCACUCUCCAGGAGAUCCAACGAUGAGGCCGUAAACGCAGCCAUGUAGCAGACAACGGCAAACACCAUUGUGCCCAGAUACUUGAGCAGAUCAACGUCGCGGAGCACCCAACGAUGCGCUUUGCGUGUGCGAAAGUCAACGAGAUGGCGA